GUGAAUAUAGUUUAAUGGUAAAAUUCCUCAGUGUCAUUGAGGCAGCUGCGGGUUCGAAUCCCGUUGUUCACG
rnacentral:tRNA from 1 species